UCUGGAUACAAAUAAAAAAAUACAUUCUUUGGUGGUUAUGUGCUUUACAAGUGUCUUCUACCAGUCUGUGACUUGUCUUUAAUUAUAAGUGCUUAUGUUUUAUGAAGUUUAAAAAUAUUAAUGUAGUUAAACUUAUUUGUACAUUUUUGUCUUGUUUAUGGAAUUCUUCUUUAUCCCAGUGCCAUAUCUGUUUGUAUCUUUUCAUCUGGAAUUAACCUUUGCCAAUGUAUAGGGUAGGGUACUAAUUGUUUUUCAUAUGGGUAGCUAAUUGUCUGCACCAUUGAUUAAGGUGCUAUUCUUUUCCCACUGAUCUGAAAUGCUACCCUUACUAUAUCCCUUCUAACCAUGUAUUCAUGGGUUCAUCUCUGAGCUCUCUAGACUGUUCCAUAGGAGUACAUCUGCCUGGUUUUAAUUUGUAUAGAUUUAUAGCAUAUCUUGAUAUUUGGUAGGAGAUAUUCUCAUUUUUCAAAGUUAUCUUGGCUAUUUUUAGUUCUUUACUUGUCUGUAUGAGUUUUAGAAUCCGCUGCUAAUCAAAUUCCUUAAAAAUCCCUAGUGGAAUUUUGAUUGAAAUUACAUUUAAUUUAUAUGUUAAUUGAGGGAAAGUUGACAUCUUCAUGACAUUGAUUCUUUCCUUGCUGAACCUUGGAAGAGCUCUAUUUAUUUAGAUCUUCUUCUGAGUCCUUCAAUGAGGUUUUAAAUUUUCUCUGUAAAAGUCUUAAACCAUCUUUCAUUGUAUUUAUUUCUAAGUAUCUUGUAGAAUGAGAUUUUAAAAAUAGAUGUAAUUGGUUUUGCUGAUAUUUAAAGGGACAAAUUAUUUCUGUAUACUGAUAUUGUGUUAAUCUUGCUAACCUUUAUAAAAGAGGCAAUCCUGCAUUUUCUAGUUGGAAAAACAAUUGUUUGUAAGGAGUAACUUGAAAAUUUUUUUCCUGUCCCUCUCCUUCUACUUUAUUUUCUUCAUGGUGCCUGCAAAGGCCUCCAGUAU
rnacentral:lncRNA from 10 species